GACGAGCGGCGGACGGGUGAGUAAUGUCUGGGAAACUGCCUGAUGGAGGGGGAUAACUACUGGAAACGGUAGCUAAUACCGCAUAACGUCGCAAGACCAAAGUGGGAGAGCUUCGGGCCUCACGCCAUCAGAUGUGCCCCAGAUGGGAUUAGCUAGUAGGUGGGGUAAUGGCUCACCUAGGCGACGAUCCCUAGCUGGUCUGAGAGGAUGACCAGCCACACUGGAACUGAGACACGGUCCAG
rnacentral:rRNA from 1 species